rnacentral:rRNA from 1 species
GUAACAGGAAGCAGCUUGCUGCUUUGCUGACGAGUGGCGGACGGGUGAGUAAUGUCUGGGAAACUGCCUGAUGGAGGGGGAUAACUACUGGAAACGGUAGCUAAUACCGCAUAACGUCGCAAGACCAAAGAGGGGGACCUUCGGGCCUCUUGCCAUCGGAUGUGCCCAGAUGGGAUUAGCUAGUAGGUGGGGUAACGGCUCACCUAGGCGACGAUCCCUAGCUGGUCUGAGAGGAUGACCAGCCACACUGGAACUGAGACACGGUCCAGACUCCUACGGGAGGCAGCAGUGGGGAAUAUUGCACAAUGGGCGCAAGCCUGAUGCAGCCAUGCCGCGUGUAUGAAGAAGGCCUUCGGGUUGUAAAGUACUUUCAGCGGGGAGGAAGGCGAUAAGGUUAAUAACCUUGUCGAUUGACGUUACCC